rnacentral:misc_RNA from 1 species
UUUCCGUAGGUGAACCUGCGGAAGGAUCAUUAAAGAGAUCAUGCCCUCACGGGUAGACCUCCCACCCUUUGUUUACAAUACCUUUGUUGCUUUGGCGGGCCCGUUUGGCCCCGCGCUGAACAACCGGCCCCGGCUGGUCAGUGCCCGCCAGAGAACCGAAAACUCCGAAUUAAAUGUCGUCUGAGUACUAUGUAAUAGUUAAAACUUUCAACAACGGAUCUCUUGGUUCUG